UCCUUCUGAGCCAUUACUAUGGCUAGUUCUGAUAACUAUGCCUGCCGUAAUGGAUUGACAACUUCUUGAGCUAUAUCAACUAUCUUCCUUGCUGUUUCUCUCAUAGAUUGAGGCUACACUGAAUUAUGAAAGGAGCCAUUGCCUUAUUCAGCUGGAACCAGCUUGCCAUAAUUAAUUACUGAUGUUUCUGAACGAAGGGUGGUUUGGGGCUAUGUGUCACCGAAUUCUUUUUCACAGUUAUAUCUUCAAGUGUAUGAAGGUAUUUGUGAUCAUAUAUAAA